UAUUCACUACAUCGUGCUUAAUAUUGUAUGUUAUUACGGGCAAGUAAGGUUGUGACAAAUUUAUGAAAAAUGGUCUAAACAAUUUUUAAAAAAUAAGAAAAUUUGCCUGAAUUACGUAAUUUACUGUAGGUAAUUUAGCUAAAAGAAAAAAGAUAGAAAAAUAUUCGGUAGAAGAUGCAAUUCUGAUCGACACAUCAUUCUCAAAUGCAGUUGAACGCUGGAAGAAGAAUGAUACGUAUAGUUGAAAAUUUUAGAAUCCAUCGAAAUUUAUUACUUCCUAUUGGCUUAUGGCCUUACAAUCAAUCAAAAUUUGUUAACCUUCAAUUAUUACUGUUUAAUCUUAUUACAAAUAGCUUUAUUAUAUUUCAGCUUACAUCAUUUAUAACUGCGGAAUGUACUGUUGACCAUAUUCUUAAAGUUCUGUCUGUAAUGUUUUUUUUCCUUUUCUAUGAUGUACAUUACACUUCUUACUGGAUUAACGCAUAUGUUCUGAAAGGUUUUAUGGAGCGCCUCCAAUAUGUCUGCAACGAUUUAAAAGAUGAAAACGAAAUCGCUAUAUUCAAAAAGUACGAAAACAUUGCGGAACAUAUUGCCAUUAUACUUACAUCUUUUACGGCAUGCACCGUACUUAUUCUUUCUCUUUUGCCACUAUUGCCUUGGAUUCUUGGCACCUUUUUAUUCGCAAAUGAAUCUCACCCACUUUACAAUAUAAUUGAAACUGAAUAUUUCGUUGAUGAAGAAAAGACUUUUUAUUUGACUUUGCUGCACACGUAUGCAUCUCUUUACAUAGGAGUGACUGCUACGGUGGGAGGAGGAUUGGUAGUAUUAACAUACAUAAUACACAUUUGCGGUUUAUUUAGCAUUGCUAGUUACCGUAUGAAUCAAUUGCUGAUAUUAAAUAUUCACGACAAAACUAAUCUGAAAAACAAUAUGGACAUCGAUAAGAAGAUAGCUCGUAUAGUGGAUUUUCACUGCAUAGCCAUUGAGUUGUCUGAAUUUUAUGUAUCUAAUUUCAAUGGAACAUAUUUUUGUAUAAUAUUGCUAGUCGUAAUAUGUUUAAGUCUCAAUCUCUAUCAAGUCUUUCAAAGUGUAUUACAGCGAACGAGUGUAGAGAAAAGUGUAUUACACCUUAUAUUUGCAGUUACUGUUAUUAUAUAUUCCUUUGUGGCCAACUAUGCCGGUCAAGAAAUUAUAGAGCAUUAUAACGACAUGUUUUAUGUUGCAUACAACAUUCAAUGGUAUACGGCCCCUAUACGCAUACAGAGAUUGAUAUUGUUUCUGUUACAAAGGAGCUGUAAGAUUUACUGCCUCAGGAUAGGUGGGCUUUUUAAUGCAUCUUUAGAAUGCUUUGGUUCGCUGUUUGCUGCAUCCAUGUCUUACUUUACUAUGAUGUAUUCUAUACAGAAAUGAUAACAGAAUCAAUCACUUAAUAGCAAAUUGAAAAAACUAGACAGAUCACUUGUAUAUUUGUACGCAACAUCAACGGGGCAGUGCUCCUUUUAAAAACCGGGAGUACGUUACGAAUACGUGGAUUAAUGAGGAACGUGAAGACGUAUUACUGUUGGAAAAAUCAAUUCGGUGGCGUGAACUUCACUGAUAUCAUGACUAUUUUUCUCUGAGAAAUAAAUGUUCAAUAUUCUUACAGCGUAAAAUCGAUUAACCACCCUCUUUUUUCUCUCGCACAAAUUGCGGGCAAAUUAUUUCUAUAGCAUUUUCAUUUCAAUAUCAUUAUGUGGUUAUCCUAUAACAUUUCUAUAUCAUUAUAGUAUAUUCACUACAUCGUGCUUAAUAUUGUAUGUUAUUACGGGCAAGUAAGGUUGUGACAAAUUUAUGAAAAAUGGUCUAGACAAUUUUUAAAAAAUAAGAAAAUUUGCCUGAAUUACGUAAUUUACUGUAGGUAAUUUAGCUAAAAGAAAAAAGAUAGAAAAAUAUUCGGUAGAAGAUGCAAUUCUGAUCGACACAUCAUUUUCAAAUGCAGUCGAAUGCUGGAAGAAGAAUGAUACGUAUAGUUGAAACUUUUAGAAUCCAUCGAAUUUUACUACUUGCUAUUGGCUUAUGGCCUUUCAAUCAGUCAAAGUUUGUUCAACUUCAAUUACCACUGUUCGUUGUUGUUCCAAAUAGCUUUAUUAUAUUUCAGGUCUGUAAAUAUUUUGAAUUGUUUUAUUACGUAAUGAAAUACACAUAUACAAUUUGUAUUUCUAUUAUCAUUGCACUUGUUCCAUUCCAAGUACGAUUUAAUGUGUCGUUAUAUUACACUUACUUGUUAAAUGUAAAUUAUAGAAAUUAACGUUGCAAUUGUCACGCCAUGAUAUUAUACACGUUUAUAAUAUCAUUAUAUAUAAAAAAUAAUUGAAUAAUUUAUAUGUCAUACCUGAUAACCAUAUAAUUAUCAAUUUUAAUAAUUGCUGACUACAGCUGGCGCAAAGAAUUACAACUUAAUUUUUAAUCACUUAUUAAGCGAACGGUUAUGUUAUAAACAUAAUAAUUUGUUUUUCAUUUUACUUUUUAACUGUUCUGUGUAGAUUUCUUAUAUUGUUUCUAUAUAUUAUUCUAUAUAUUUAUAGAAAUUUCUAUAACUUUCUAUAAAUAUUGUCGCAAUACAAUGUGUUGGCAUCCGCAAAGAUAAAAAUUAAAAUUAACUUUUUAUUAAAAUUGCAUAAAAAAGAUUAUUAUAGUUCUUUUAGGUUUACCACUAACAAAAACCUAUGCUUUCAUAAUUAGAUACAAAUGCCGCUUUUAUAAUAUAGACCUUUAAUAUAUUCAUUAAUUGUAGCUUACGUCUUUUAUAACUGCCGAAUGUACUGUUGACCUUAUUAUUAAAAUUUUGUCUACAAUAUUCUUUUUUCUUUUGGGCGAAGUUCAUCAAAUUUCUUUUUGGGUUAACGCAUACACUGUAAGUUGAGCUUUUACUUUAAUAUAUUGCUAAACAUUUAAGAUAAAUAAGGCUUUAUAUACCAUAAGUUUUCAAAAGUUUAUCACAAUUUAUUUUAUCAAAAAGAAAUUGUCUGAUAUAUUAUUAAUAUAAUACGAUAGGUGAAGUGUUUUGUAAACCGUCUUCAAUAUUUCUGUAACGAAUUAAAAGAUGAAAACGAAAUCGCAAUAAUCAAAAAAUAUGGAAAUAGCGCGGAACAUAUUACGAUUGCAGUUACAUAUUAUAAACAUACAAAAACAUGUAAAUCCGAAGAGGAGCCAGAAAUAAGCAAAGUUAGUAUUCUGCAAGUAUAUUACAAAAAUACAGAAAAGUUGAACUGUUUUAUUGCAAAUGUACGCAAUCUUAUUCUCAAUUGUUAAAAAUGGGAUGAGCGAUCUUGCUCAACAGCAACAGUUACACAACUGUCUUAGCAGCAUGGACGCAACGACGUGACAACGCGGUAUGGCAGAGGAACACUCACGCACACUACCAGGCGCCUCACAGCGUGUAACUUCGAAAGAACGGCGCUGAUUCGCUGGAAUUUACUUAACAAUAACUCUUUCAUUAAGCAUCGUAAAAAAAUAGUUCAGGACUUUUCGACUCAACUUUCCAUAAGGAAUAACACUAUGUACUUCGUGGCCGCGAGAUAAGAAACACUCUGUAUAUACAUAUAUAUAUAUAUAUACACAUAUAUAUACAAAGCACCAACAAAAACAAAUGAAAAA
rnacentral:misc_RNA from 1 species